rnacentral:lncRNA from 1 species
UUUACAUUUACAUAUUUUCAUCUUUUUUUUUACAGUAAUUUUUGUAUAAAAAUAUAUUAUAUUUGGCUACAGUAAUUUGUAUAAAAUAAUUUUUAUGAAGCAAAUAAUAACACAAUUCGACAUUACUCCGAACACAAAUAUUUAUACACAAAUAAAUCACCAUACUCAAUUGCGCGAUUAUGCUUGUAAUUGAACUUUUCCGAAAACGUUCGCGGUCCCGUCCGCAACUUAGUUACGGUGCAGUCUAAAUUCUGUUGUAAGGUUUCGAAACUGGAGUAAAA